rnacentral:rRNA from 1 species
AGAGUUUGAUCAUGGCUCAGAUUGAACGCUGGCGGCAUGCCUAACACAUGCAAGUCGGACGAGGCGGCAACGCCGAGUGGCGGACGGGUGAGCAACGCGUAGGAAUCUGCCCACGGGUGGGGGACAACCCGGCGAAAGCCGGGCUAAUACCGCAUAAGUUCUAAGGAAGAAAGCGGGGGACCUUCGGGCCUCGCGCCGGUGGAGGAGCCUGCGUGGGAUUAGCUAGUUGGCGGGGUAAGGGCCCACCAAGGCGACGAUCCCUAGCCGGCCUGAGAGGGUGGCCGGCCACACCGGGACUGAGACACGGCCCGGACUCCUACGGGAGGCAGCAGUGGGGAAUAUUGGACAAUGGGCGCAAGCCUGAUCCAGCAAUGCCGCGUGUGUGAAGAAGGCCUGCGGGUUGUAAAGCACUUUGAGUAGGAAAGAAGGCCUGGAGAUUAAUACUUUCCAGGAUUGACGUUACCUACAGAACAAGCACCGGCUAACUCCGUGCCAGCAGCCGCGGUAAUACGGAGGGUGCGAGCGUUAAUCGGAAUUACUGGGCGUAAAGCGCGCGUAGGCGGCCUUCCAAGUCCGACGUGAAAGCCCCGGGCUCAACCUGGGAACUGCGCCGGAGACUGGGAGGCUGGAGUGUGGGAGAGGGGCGUGGAAUUUCCGGUGUAGCAGUGAAAUGCGUAGAGAUCGGAAGGAACACCAGUGGCGAAGGCGGCGCCCUGGACCAACACUGACGCUGAGGCGCGAAAGCGUGGGGAGCAAACAGGAUUAGAUACCCUGGUAGUCC